AACGAACGCUGGCGGCAUGCCUAACACAUGCAAGUCGAACGAGACCUUCGGGUCUAGUGGCGCACGGGUGCGUAACGCGUGGGAACCUGCCCGUAGGUUCGGAAUAACUCCCCUAAAGGGGUGCUAAUACCGGAUAGUGUCUUCGGACCAAAGAUUUAUCGCCUUUGGAUGGGCCCUCGUUGGUUUAGCUAGUUGGUAGGGUAAAAGCCUACCAAGGCGACGAUCCAUAGCUGGUCUGAGAGGAUGAUCAGCCACAGUGGGACUGCGACCCGGCCCAGACUCCUACGGGAGGCAGCAGUGGAGAAUAUUGGACAAUGGGCGAAAGCCUGAUACAGCAAUGCCGCGUGAGUGAUGAAGGCCUUAGGGUUGUAAAGCUCUUUUACCCGAGAUGAUAAUGACAGUACCGGGAGAAUAAGCACCGGCUAACUACGUG
rnacentral:rRNA from 1 species